rnacentral:tRNA from 1 species
AUUUAAAUAGUUUAAAAAAAAUAUUGAUUUGUGGUGUCAAUGAUGAAAAAAAUUUCUUUAAAUA